GGCUCAGUGGUCUAGUGGUAUGAUUCUCGCUUUGGGUGCGAGAGGCCAUGGGUUCGAUUCCUGUCUGAGCCC
rnacentral:tRNA from 1 species